rfam:Bombyx mori DNA, contig: Bm_scaf5_contig4953, strain: p50T/Dazao, build 2, whole genome shotgun sequence.
CCACGUGAAAAGGGUGUUAAAUGAAGACUUAGGGCUUCGGGCAUAUCGAAGAAAAACAGGACAUCGUUUGAAUGCUCGUCUAAUGGA